AACCUUUAUAUACUUCGGAAUCUAAAGUAUCUGCUCAUCCAGAAACAAAUUACAUGGUUUUUCUGCCUGUAGCCCUCACCAGGAUGUACGAUGCUAUGGCUCGAUAUGUUCAAACAACACUGCAAAGCAGAGCAGGGCAGAAAGCCAGAAUGAGCUGGUUUCCUUGGGAAACCAAACCCACAUUCUAGGCCCUUCUGCUGGGUCCCAGCUCCAUCCUUGGGAGAUCUCUUUUACCUUUCUGUGGCUCAGUCUGCUGUCUGAAGGUGGCCCCCCAGCACACUUUCCUCAAGUGAUUUGAUUUGUCCAGUCAGGCUGUGAAUGUCUAUGAGCAGGGACAUCCAAGCUCUCAUUUUGCACAUGAAUCAUACCUAGCAACAGCUGGAGGCCCUCUGUUUUCUGCUCUAAGUGCAUGUUUACUUGAGUAUUUUGGUUUGCUUCAGUAGCAGCAGAGGGAAACACAGCAGCUGCGGCUCUGAAAUGUUGAGGCUGUGGUUCCUCUGGAGUUGUUUGUUAGUACUGAAGGAGAGGAAAACAUAGUUGAGGAUUAAUGGGCUUUUGUCUUCACAAGAAUAUAGCAGGGAAAGAAGGAAGAGGAAAGAAUAAGCAGACCAACAAUAGCUGAGGUGGACGUGAUGCUGAGAGCACCCUAGGACCUGCAGAAACAUGGUGCUCUCAGAACAGACCUCUGACCCUGUUGCCAAGACUUCUUCAUAGCACCUCAAUAGAUGCCUGUAAUUCUUUUAAUCAUAGUACUAUGGAGUGGAGAUUAUUAAUAUUAUUCACAAUUUACAGAUGAGAAAACUGAAGCACAAGGAGGAGAAAUGUCUGGGCCAAAACUUUUUGAUUGAGCAUCAUGGAACUGAGGGAACAUGAGGAAGAUGCAGCCUCAUCCAGCUGCAGGAGUGCCCAUCCUGCGUCUGCUCCGUCACACAAAGGAAAGACUCCUGCUGCUCAGGAUUGGGCACAAACAACCCAAAUUCCCUUUAACUGACUCACCAGCAACAAAAACCUCAAUGUCAUCAGUACUGCUAAUCUUCCUGGAGAGAUUCUGCAGACAUGACAGGAAUGAACAACCUGCUCCUUGUUCACUUCCCUGAAGUUUCUGCCCAGUUUUCCAGCCCUAAGGCAGAAUGCACUUGCAAGACGGAUGCCAGUUAAUCCAGUUUGAAGAGUCCCAUUACAUU